rnacentral:rRNA from 1 species
UACGGGGGGUGCAAGCGUUGUUCGGAAUUACUGGGCGUAAAGGGCUCGUAGGCGGCUAGCUAAGUCGGAUGUGAAAUCCCCAGGCUUAACCUGGGAAGUGCAUCCGAUACUGGAUGGCUUGAAUCCGGGAGAGGGAUGCGGAAUUCCCGGUGUAGCGGUGAAAUGCGUAGAUAUCUGGAGGAACACCGGUGGCGAAGGCGGCGUCCUGGAUCGGCAUUGACGCUGAGGAGCGAAAGCCAGGGGAGCAAACGGG